rnacentral:lncRNA from 1 species
AUGCUUGAUGCCAUUUCUCCUUUUCCAUAUCGUCCACAUUAUGAUUGCUGGCAUUUCUCUGUAUACUGAUUCCAGCUUUGGUGUUGUGUAAAUAUUCCACCAUGUGUUUAUGAGUUGUUUCAGAUUCAUGUCUUCUAUGUCAAUCCCUGCAAAAAUAGCAAACUGCCUCCAUAGCUUAGUAGCUAUGGGUGCUGUUAAAAAAAGAUGAGUCAUAGUUUCUUCUGUCUUCUCCUCACAACACCAACAUCUAGACACAAUAUUUAUCUUCAUUCUCUUCAAAUUGUCAUCUGUGGCAAUCUUCCUCCUCCAGGC